UACGUAGGGUGCAAGCGUUAAUCGGAAUUACUGGGCGUAAAGCGUGCGCAGGCGGUUUUGUAAGUCUGUCGUGAAAUCCCCGGGCUCAACCUGGGAAUUGCGAUGGAGACUGCAAGGCUAGAAUCUGGCAGAGGGGGGGUAGAAUUCCACGUGUAGCAGUGAAAUGCGUAGAGAUGUGGAGGAACACCGAUGGCGAAGGCAGCCCCCUGGGUCAAGAUUGACGCUCAUGCACGAAAGCGUGGGGAGCAAACGAGGAUUACGAAACCC
rnacentral:rRNA from 1 species